GGGGGGCUGGCGCAACGGUAGCGCGUUCGACUCCAGCGAUGUGAAUCAUCGAAAGGCUAGCGGUUCAAAUCCGUUGUCCCUCA
rnacentral:tRNA from 1 species